rnacentral:misc_RNA from 1 species
GAUGAAGAACGUAGCGAAAUGCGAUAACUAAUGUGAAUUGCAGAAUUCCGUGAAUCAUCGAGUCUUUGAACGCACAUUGCGCCCCCUGGUAUUCCGGGGGGCAUGCCUGUCCGAGCGUCAUUGCUGCCCAUCAAGCACGGCUUGUGUGUUGGGUCCUCGUCCCCCCCGGGGGACGUGCCCGAAAGGCAGCGGCGGCACCGCGUCCGGUCCUCGAGCGUAUGGGGCUUUGUCACCCGCUCUGCAGGCCCGGCCGGCGCUGGCCGACGCGAAAGCAACCAUUUUUUCUCCAGGUUGACCUCGGAUCAGGUAGGGAUACCCGCUGAACUUAAGCAUAUCAAUAAGCGGUGGA